AAAUAAAUACAACUUUCAACAACGGAUCUCUUGGCUCUCGCAUCGAUGAAGAACGCAGCGAAAUGCGAUAAGUAAUGUGAAUUGCAGAAUUCAGUGAAUCAUCGAAUCUUUGAACGCACCUUGCGCCCUUUGGUAUUCCGAAGGGCAUGCCUGUUUGAGUGUCA
rnacentral:rRNA from 1 species